CGGGAUGUGGACGGAUGUGAAGGGCAGGCACGACCACGAUGCUACGCUGUUAGUACGCGCUGACGUCAGAACACGCCCUACAGUCUCGGCUGUGCAGGAGAGGGGGGCAGUAGCCUGGAGGAACAUCAUACAACAGAGGCUGGAAGUCCAUGAAACAUUUUCCUACAACUGGACAACAGCAGCUCCCACUGGCACGCUAACAGAGUGACAAUGCUGGACAGGCAUGAUGUGACUGCCUGUGUGUGAAGGAGAUAUGGAUAUUCCCAACAAACUCAUCCUGUAAGAGAGAACUGCAGUGUUCACAAGCAUCAUUUGUUGAGAACAAAAUGAAAAAUACAAAGUAGCUGUAGCAGUUUACAGUGUUUUGAUGUUUGUCUGUAUGUGUCGCCACAUAUAAGCCAUUCAAGCUUUAGUUAAUAUAAAUAUGAACUAAAUCUUUGAAUAUUAGCUUAGUAUAAAUUAAUCCUGACCCCAGAACAGAAUUGAAAUCUUUCUACAUGUGUCCUUAAACCAGCAAACUGAUGACAGUUUUAAUAUUAGCAAGUGAUGAAGAGCAAUAGAAGGUCGAGGAACUGAGGAGCAAGCAGAGCAGAGCUGAAAGAUGCAUUAAAAUGAAAGCGCUGCAAAAAAAAAAAAAGAAAGAGGGACGAACUGAUAAGAGAGAAGUAUUACUGACUAAUGCUGAGUGAUGUUUCUCGGCUUAGCUUAGGGUUGAAGGGGCUUCUUUAAAGCCCACUGUUCAGUGUACUCUGUGUGUGUGUGUGUGUGUGUGUGCACAGUUGUUGUUGCUGAUAUUUAUGAAAUCUAAUCCUUUGUUUAUAUGAAGAUUUGAGAUUUUCAAGCAUACACACACACACACACACACACACACGCACACACACACACACAGGCUUACUUCUCCACCCACACCUCUGCACUCUGAGGGUUUAGGGCGGCUGGUGUGGCAACAGACAGCUGUGAUGAUGAAAUAAUGUGGAGUAGCAGCAGUGAACCAUUAGACAUCAGAUCUGAUUUAAUUUAUCACUUACAGUAAUAAUUUCAUAGCUGUACGCUUCUUUCCUUCAGUGUGAUUUCUAACAUCUAACUCAUGCUGUUUAGGACAGCAGCUUUCAAACAUGUUCAGUCAUACAUUUUUAUUUCAAGGGAUUUGUUUUUGUUUAGUUGUUUAUUUUGUGUUGUUUUUAAAACUAGAUUAUACAUACAUUUUAAGAGAAACAAGAGCAAAUAGAGAAUAAAUGUUGACUAAUCUAACAACAGGAACACUGCAGCAUUUGUGCCAUGUUGAACACCAUGUGUGUCAGUUAUCUCAGGUUGUAACGCAUUCAGCUCUCUUUGCCAAUGUAAAAGACGAACAUAAAAUUAGACAAGAUUAAACAUAUAAAAAUGUCAAGAUAAAACAUAA